rnacentral:rRNA from 1 species
CAAGUCGAACGGUAACGUGGGGAGGAGCUUGCUCCACCCUGACGACGAGUGGCGAACGGGUGAGUAAUACAUCGGAACGUGUCCGCUCGUGGGGGACAACCAGCCGAAAGGUUGGCUAAUACCGCAUGAGUUCUACGGAAGAAAGAGGGGGACCCGCAAGGGCCUCUCGCGAGCGGAGCGGCCGAUGACUGAUUAGCCGGUUGGUGAGGUAACGGCUCACCAAAGCAACGAUCAGUAGCUGGUCUGAGAGGACGACCAGCCACACUGGGACUGAGACACGGCCCAGACUCCUACGGGAGGCAGCAGUGGGGAAUUUUGGACAAUGGGCGCAAGCCUGAUCCAGCUAUUCCGCGUGUGGGAUGAAGGCCCUCGGGUUGUAAACCACUUUUGUAGAGAACGAAAAGACACCUUCGAAUAAAGGGUGUUGCUGACGGUACUCUAAGAAUAAGCACCGGCUAACUACGUGCCAGCAGCCGCGGUAAUACGUAGGGUGCGAGCGUUAAUCGGAAUUACUGGGCGUAAAGGGUGCGCAGGCGGUUGAGUAAGACAGAUGUGAAAUCCCCGAGCUUAACUCGGGAAUGGCAUAUGUGACUGCUCGACUAGAGUGUGUCAGAGGGAGGUGGAAUUCCACGUGUAGCAGUGAAAUGCGUAGAUAUGUGGAAGAACACCGAUGGCGAAGGCAGCCUCCUGGGACAUAACUGACGCUCAGGCACGAAAGCGUGGGGAGCAAACAGGAUUAGAUACCCUGGUAGUCCACGCCCUAAACGAUGUUAACUAGUUGUUGGGAAGUAAAAUUCUCAGUAACGCAGCCAACGCGAGAAGUUAACCGCCUG